GCAGAGGUGACUGAGAUCCCGGCCACCUGCCUCACCUGAUGGAGGUGGGACACGUGUCACUCCUGCAGACUCCAGGGGAUCUUCCAGCAAAGGCCUGAAGGAUCUGAAAGAAGCCAGGGUAGAAAGAUCCUCCCGAGAAACGGAGCGGAGUGGACACAACGAGGGGACAGUGACAGCAAGGAGGCGGGCCAGAGACGACAGCAGUCCUGCUCACAGGGCCUUCUCGAUGUUCCAAGGGGAGGGAGUGGCCGUGGAGCUGGGAGGACAGACGGAGGAAGCACAGGAGGCCACGUGGCGCUGUGGACGGCAGCCGAGAAGUCGCAACCACCCAACAUCAUCUACCACAGUCCUCAGAUUAAAUUCAGGACACCCAGCUAAAAAAGAUGUAGCGGCUUUACUGAGAUAUAAUUUACAUAGCAGAAAGUUCACCCACUUAAAGUGUGCAAUGGUUUGGAGCGCUGUAUUCCAGAAUUGUGCAAGCGUCACCACUAUUCAAUUUUAGAAUAUUCUCAUCACCUUCCCCCAAAAUACCUUGCGCACCUUAGAGUCACUUCCCAACACUCCCCCUGCCCUGCAGCCACUCCUCUACUGCCUGUCCCCGAGGACUGCCCGUGGCGGACAUUGCAUAUAAAUAGAACCGUAUGCUAUACACUCCUGGCUUCUUUCCCCCGGUGCAAUGCUCUCAGGUCCAUUUACUCUGUGCCCUCUCUCAGUACUGCCUUCCUUUUUAGGGCUGAGCAAUAGCUCCUGCCCCUUGUGGACCCCGUAUCUGUUCAUCCACUCCUGCACUGAUUGAUCUUUGAGUUGUUUCCACAUUGAGGCUGUUAUGAAAAA